AGAGUUUGAUCCUGGCUCAGGAUGAACGCUGGCGGCGUGCUUAACACAUGCAAGUCGAGCGAAGCGCCUUAUUUAGAUUCCUUCGGGAUGAAGGAUUUGGCGACUGAGCGGCGGACGGGUGAGUAACGCGUGGGCAACCUGCCUCACACAGGGGGAUAACAGCUAGAAAUGGCUGCUAAUACCGCAUAAGGCCGAAGCACCGCAUGGUGCGGCGGCAAAAGCUCCGGCGGUGUGAGAGGGGCCCGCGUCUGAUUAGGUAGUUGGUGCGGUACCGGCGCACCAAGCCGACUAUCAGUAGCCGACCUGAGAGGGUGACCGGCCACAUUGGGACUGAGACACGGCCCAAACUCCUACGGGAGGCAGCAGUGGGGAAUAUUGCACAAUGGGGGAAACCCUGAUGCAGCGACGCCGCGUGGAGGAUGAAGUAUUUCGGUAUGUAAACUUCUAUCAGCAGGGAAGAAGAUGACGGUACCUGACUAAGAAGCCCCGGCUAACUACGUGCCAGCCGCCGCGGUAAUAC
rnacentral:rRNA from 1 species